UACAGAGGUCCCAAGCGUUGUUCGGAUUCAUUGGGCGUAAAGAGCGUGUAGGCGGCUAGAUAGGUCCGUUGUGAAAACUGGAGGCUCAACCUCCAGCUGUCGAUGGAAACCAUCUAGCUAGAGUCCGGAAGAGGAGAGUGGAAUUCCUGGUGUAGCGGUGAAAUGCGCAGAUAUCAGGAAGAACACCCGUGGCGAAGGCGGCUCUCUGGGACGUGACUGACGCUGAGACGCGAAAGCGUGGGGAGCGAACAGG
rnacentral:rRNA from 1 species